rnacentral:misc_RNA from 1 species
AAGACUAUAGACCUGCGGAGUACCUGCGGAAGGAUCAUUACCACGUUCCAAACGUUAUCAACCCAUGCGAACUGUUUCUAUCUCCCAUCGGGCGAGAAUGAGCUGAAUGACACCCUGUGCGAGUGUGUGUGAGAUGUCCCGUUGUCAUGAUGGGCUCUAGCGGGUGUCACACAACUUAGCUGAGAGCUGAAAUAUGCAGGAGGCUAGACGGCUGUAUUUCGUUCCGGUGGCUUUUUCCUU